UUCCGGUUGAUCCUGCCGGACCUGACUGCUAUCGGAUUGAUACUAAGCCAUGCGAGUCAUUGUAGCAAUGCAAGGCAGACGGCUCAGUAACGCGUAGUCUACCGAACCUAUGGACGGGAAUAACCUCGGGAAACUGAGAAUAAUGCCCGAUAGAACACUAUACCUGGAAUGGUUUGUGUUCCAAAUGAUUUAUCGCCGUAGGAUGGGACUGCGGCCUAUCAGUUUGUUGGUGAGGUAAUGGCCCACCAAGACUAUUACAGGUACGGGCUCUGAGAGGAGUAGCCCGGAGAUGGGUACUGAGACACGGACCCAGGCCCUAUGGGGCGCAGCAGGCGAGAAAACUUUGCAAUGUGCGAAAGCACGACAAGGUUAAUCCGAGUGAUUUGUGCUAAACGAUUCUUUUGUUAGUCCUAGAACCACUAACGAAUA
rnacentral:rRNA from 1 species